CUUGCAAACUGGAGAUGGCGACCGGCGCACGGGUGAGUAACACGUAUCCAACCUGCCGAUAACUCGGGGAUAGCCUUUCGAAAGAAAGAUUAAUACCCGAUGGCAUAAUAGAACCGCAUGGUUUGAUUAUUAAAGAAUUUCGGUUAUCGAUGGGGAUGCGUUCCAUUAGGCAGUUGGUGGGGUAACGGCCCACCAAACCUUCGAUGGAUAGGGGUUCUGAGAGGAAGGUCCCCCACGUUGGAACUGAGACACGGUCCAAACUCCUACGGGAGGCAGCAUG
rnacentral:rRNA from 1 species